ensembl:lncRNA
UGAGGCGACCCCACACAAUUCUGCAGGGAGACCCUGGGAGGGAGGGCAUGAUUUCCAAAGAAGGCCAUCCUCCUCACUAACUAAACUCCCAAACACGUACCCCCAAGACAAGGGUUAUGACCUGUGAUGUCAUCUCUCCCUCAGUUUCCUCCUCUGUGAAAUGGGCUAACAACGGCACCUACCUGCCAGGGCGGUCGGAGCUGACCAAAUGGGCGAAAAUUCAGGAAGUAUUUUACCACCUUUAAGGCGCUAUGUAAAUGUCCAACCCCCUUAUGUUACAGAUGGGGAAACUGAGGCACCAGAUGGUGGAGUGACUUGCCCAGGGUCACACAGCUAGUGAAGUCCUAGAGGCAGGAUCCGAACCCGGGACUCCAGCCUCCAGGCAAACUCUAAAACACCAGGCUGCCUUUUCUGUAUCGACUGUCCAGAUAAGCUGUCAUUUAAGAGGCCCAAGGCAGAGGUGACUCGCCUACAUGCCUACAGAGAGCACUCGCCAGGGCCACGAUUCCAACCCACGUUCGGUGCCCCACCCCCAACUGGACAAAUAAAUCCAUCAAGGUCCAGAGAGGACAAGCAACUAACCCAGAUCACCCAGCAAGCCGGGGUAGACCCAGGGCGCAGGCGCCAGGCCCGCGCAGGCGCAGACGGCUCCCUCCGGCCGAUGGGGGGGGUUCUGAGGGGAGGAGUCUCCCUCCUCUCCUACCCCGGGCUAGGGAUUGGGGGCUGGGGCUAAAGCCGACGCUGGGCCCGUUGUCCUCCAGCCGAAAGGACCGGGAGGGCUGCCACUGCGGGGACGAGGUGUCUGAGGCCGGGCCCGGCUCAGCCAGGCCUGAGGCUCCGCCCCCGUCGCCUUGGAGACGCGAGGACGCCUGGGAAAAGCUACGGGGAAGUGCCGGCGGGUUGGGUCUGUCUGCGCAGCCGCAGUCCCUCUCUUCCGCAUCUCUUUCUCUCCCCUCCCCAAGUCUUGAAGUGCCCAACUUGCGCCGUACAAAAAAAAAAAAAUUAUCUAUACAAAAGCUGAACUAUUGAAGUGCCCUCCUUCUACGGGCCUUCAGGGUCCUUUGUGGGUCUGAGAGUCCGGUGAGCGUGGAGUGUGACAAGUACUUUCAGGCACCCACGGGGCAGCCCCAUGGGGAGGACCUUCUAACCAGCGCCCUGUAAACACAACAUAGGGCCCUGCGGGGGUCGGAACCAACGAGACGAGAGCAGGCAGCGCGCUAGAGCGACCCUCGCGUCCCGGAAUCAUAGAGACGAGCGGCUCCGGCCGCGCUGGGAGUCCAGCGUCGGCUCUGCGCCCUCUGUGGUCGCGGAGGAAUCUGGGCUCCUGGAGCCGGUCGUUGCCUUGUGGAUUCCUCCUUUUGGUUUGUUUCGUGCAGCAACUCCUCCAAUUUUUGGACUCCUAGAGAGGAACUUUCUAAAAACUUCGUAGAUAUAUUCAUUUGGAAGGUGAAAAAAAUAACAAAUCAGAGAUUUAUUAAAAAGAUCUGGGUUCGAAUUCUACUCAGCUCCUUCCUUUCUGUGUGCCUGGGGGCAAGUCACUAACCCUCUCUGAGCCUCCUGAGCAGAGAAUUUAGAGGCUUCCUCCUAGAGGAAAUUGAAAAAUGGGUCAAGUUGCACUUUACCUCACCCUGUGGCUCCCUUACCCUCACUAUAUUUGUUCAUUUAAGUUCAACAGACAUUUAUUAAGCACCUGCUGUAUCCAGCCCUGAGCUAGACCCAGAACUGUGUUUUCUCAAUGAAGAAAC